CUCUGUGGGCUUGCUGUUUACUGACAUUUGAUAUGCUUCAACAUCUGUUGCCCUUCUCGAUUGAUGGGUGCUUCAUUUUAGCACUUCUCUGAUGCCAGGCUGGUACAAAGCUUUAGUACUGAGGUCCUAUGAGACACUCCUAGGUCAGUAACACAACUUUGUUUGCAAAGCUGGCCAAGGGAAAGAAUAUUCAUGGGAAAAGGUGAAGGGACAUGCUAUCUAUCUACCAAACUGGGUAUUCUUGGUAUCCCUGAGUUAUCAAGUGACAUCUCCAAAAAGCUAUAAACCCAGCCUAUCCUAGACCCAAAGUCAGGUUUCAAUGUCAUGAUCUAGGCUCUCAGCAAGGUGGUAUAUAAUGAAUUCUGCCUUCUUCUAUAAGAGUUCCAUGGAAUGAUUUCUAAGUUCCUUUUAAAAGAAAUAAGUAUUUUAGAAUUUGGUAUAAGGAAAAACGUGCUCUCUUUUAAAGAAUUGGUAUACUUCUUUGACUCCACAUGACUUCACAUAUUUCCCAGUUUUGCCUUGCUUGCGUGGAGUUCAGUCAAAAUAACCCCCUAGGGGAUUGCUUGAACAGGUGUUUGAGGCUGCUGUGAGCCAUGAUUAUGUCACUGCACUCCAGCCUGGGCAACAGAGUGAGACCUCAUUAAAAACAUAAUAAUAACUGCCUAGUCCAGGUCAGAGACCAUAGAUAAGCCAGAUCUGUCCCAUAGAUAUUUGGUGUGGCACUCACCAAUCUAGAGUUAAACAAUCUGAUUUUCAACAUCCUUUGGCAGUACUUUGAGUACAAAUAUUAGUAUUCAUACUUUUCUAGUACUUUUCUCCUACCUGAUACAGAAUCAAAUCACCUUGUCCUUUGCUGGUAUCGUCCCAUGUUUUUGUGUGUGUGUGUGUAUUUUCCUCUUUUUACAUUGUUUCUAACUUGUGAGUUUUAUUCCAGUAACCUGUUUAGUCACUUAUUGUACGCUUUCUUAAAUCCUUUAUGGAAGCAGAGUAUGAAUGACAAAUAAAUCGUUCUGUUCGCUAAGCAAAACUGCCAAGAUCAGUGCAACAGUUGCAUUCCUACUGCAUCCUAGGGCUAAUGCUCUCUGGUGAGUCACUUGUGCCUGCUCUACCUGCCCCACCUGUCAAAGGGUCACCAUAGCUGUAGGCUCUGCCCCACCAAUCCCUCAAACAGAAGGAAAGAACUUCUUCCUCAAUAGUGAGUGAGAGGUCUGGACAUCCUUGAGAAGCAUCUACCCUAUUUCUAGCAUGUGACAUGCAAAUGUAGCUAUAGGUGCCCUCCAAAGCACAGGGCUGUGGGGAAUAUGCAGAGGGCAGGGCUGGAGCCAGCCCACUUGAGUUUAAACCAUCGUUCAGCCACUAACCGUCUAGGUGAUCUUAGGUGAGCUUUUCAAUAGCUUGGUGCCUCAAUUUCUUGCUUAAUAGAGUGGCACAAUGAUACCACCUACCUCAUAGGGUUGUGGUGAAGAUCAAAUGAACACAGGGAAUGAUAAUAGUACUUUUCUGCUGAACAGGCAUUGUGUUAAAUGUGCUUUCAUUCACAGAAUCUUUGCAGAAACUCAAUGGGGUAAGUUAAUAUGGAACUGAGCUCAGAGAAAUUAAGUAGCUUGACCAGCCAGGUGUGUUCAUACAGCUAGCAAGUCGAGGAGAUGCCAUCACCGUGAGGUUCAGCAAGGUGACUUAGAGGGCUACUUCCUGCUGCUCCAUUUGAUUUCCUCUUACCCUGCCUGUGAUGGACUCAGCUCACUUACUCUUUCUACUCCUUACCCCACAUACUUGGCAGGUAGUUGCUAAAAUAUCACAAGACUGAGGAUCCAGCCGUCAUUACUAAUAUUUACUAUGUUGAGCUGAAAUGGAGAGGUAUUUGUCCCGGGUUGAGGCCGAAGCUCUUUCUUCUGCCUUCAGAGGAGGCACUUUGCUGCAAAGAUGAAGAGCAUAGGCCUGGGGGCUUCCACGGUGCCCUGAGUUCUAGCUCCAUCACCAGCCAAAGGCUGCCUCCUCUGGAAGACUUUCCCAGCCCUCUUUAGACAGUGGAAGUCACUCCUCAAAUGCUCCACCAUUCCAUUGCAGAGUAAUUGCAACUUAAAGAAUAGCCAACAUUAAUAAGACUAUUUUGCUUUAUAUGCAGUAACAUGUUUACUCCUUACAACAUGAGUUACAAGAUAAUAGAUCUCUACUGUUAUCUUUUACAGGUGAGGCCUCUGAGACACAGAGAAACUAAGUAACUCACCCAAGGUGGUGUAUUUAUGACUGUGUGGCAUUGUUGAAACCAUGGACAAUGUACUACUGGAGCAGACACCUUCAGAUGUGGCUUAUUAGAGAAGAUGUGCAUAUGCAACAAGGAAUAAAAAUGAUGCAACUUUCUCUUA